CAGCAGCCGCCACGGUAAUACAGAGGGUGCAAGCGUUAAUCGGAAUUACUGGGCGUAAAGCGCGCGUAGGUGGUUCGCCAAGUUGGAUGUGAAAUCCCCGGGCUCAACCUGGGAACUGCAUCCAAAACUGGCGAGCUAGAGUAUGGUAGAGGGUGGUGGAAUUUCCUGUGUAGCGGUGAAAUGCGUAGUUAUAGGAAGGAACAUCAGUGGCGAAGGCGACCACCUGGACUGAUACUGACACUGAGGUGCGAAAGCGUGGGGAGCAAACAGGAUUAGAUACCCCCGUAGUCCCUGUCUCUUAUAA
rnacentral:rRNA from 1 species